CUGUUGGAUUUUUUUUCCACUUCUUUGCCUCAGUGUUUUACUUCACACAUGCUGCUCACUGGGUUCCAUUAUACUAACUUUAUCCACCAAUUUUGCUGCUUGUAACUAAUUAUUAGGGCUGGGAAUAUCCCUUAGUUGGUAGAGUGCUUGCCUUGCAUACACAAGGCCCUGGGUUCAAUCCCCAGCACCACAAAAAAGUAUCUUAUUGAAUGGAUGAGGUCACUACUAUAUGUGAAAGACACUUCUUUUAACUCUCAGUACAUUUUUUAUGAAAUAAAUACUAUGUCAUUAAUCAUAUAAUUUAUGUGAUAUGUAUUUACUCAUUUUUAUUUCAGGAACCAUUGACAUUAAGUGAUGUGAUCAUUGAUUUUUCUGAAGAGGAAUGGAAAUGCCUGGACCCUUCUCAGCAGACUUUAUAUGGAGAUGUGAUGUUAGAGAUCUGUAGAAACCUACUCUUUAUUGGUAUGACUUCUAAUCAAAACCAAGAAUUUUCAGGAGAUCAAGAAAUAAAAUGUUUUUUGCAAAACUUGAUAAAGAGAAGUAUACACCAGAAAAUACAUACUGGAGAAAAGCCAUACCAAUGUAAAGAAUGUGGAAAAGCUUUUAAUCAAAGAUCAAGCCUUACUCAACACCAGAGAAUUCAUACUGGGGAGAAACCAUACAAAUGUAAAGAAUGUGACAAAGCUUUUAAUCAAAAAUCAUGCCUUACUCAACAUCAGAAAAUUCAUACUGGAGAAAACCCCUACAAAUGUAAAAUAUGUGG